GUACACACCGCCCGUCGCUACUACCGAUUGAAUGGCUCAGUGAGGCCUUCGGACUGGCCCAGGGAGGUCGGCAACGACCACCCAGGGCCGGAAAGUUGGUCAAACUCGGUCAUUUAGAGGAAGUAAAAGUCGUAACAAGGUCUCCGUAGGUGAACCUGCGGAGGGAUCAUU
rnacentral:rRNA from 2 species